AUUGAACGCUGGCGGCAGGCCUAACACAUGCAAGUCGAGCGAGCGGCGGACGGGUGAGUAAUAUCUGGGAAACUGACUGAUGGAGGGGGAUAACGACUGGAAACGGUAGCUAAUACCGCAUACCAUCAGAUGUGCCUAGAUGGGAUUAGCUAGUAGGUGGGGUAACGGCUAACCCAGGCGACGAGCCCUAGCUGGUCUGAGAGGAGGACCAGCCACACUGGAACUGAGACACGGUCCAGACGCCUACGGGAGGCAGCAGUGGGGAAGAUUGGACAAUGGGGGCAAGCCUGAUGCAGCCAUGCCGCGUGUGUGAAGAAGGCCGUCGGGUUGUAAAGCACUGUCAGCGGGGAGGCGUUACCUGCAGAAGAAGCACCGGCUAACUCCGUGCCAGCAGCCGCGGUAAUAC
rnacentral:rRNA from 1 species